CAGCACAUCCGCAUCUGAGGACAAAGCAAAAGAAAUAGAACAAGAGUGGAAAUUGUUGCACUCCUGCUAUCCAGGAUAUUGUUACUACAUGAGUAACGCAGAACUCAUCUGGAGUUGACUGAGGUUAAGAGAACAGAAGCUCAGUGGCCCUCUCAGAAAUACUUUACUGAGACCAUCAAGUUAGAACCGUUCUCUGACUACUGGAUGAGCGCACGGCAUCAGAGAUGAGCAUCAAGCAUCUUUUGCAUCAUCCUAAGGUACGUAGCUUUCAUCCUCUGCAGUUGUUAAAAUACUGACAGAGCGCAUCCAUUUCACAUUGUUUUCCAGUUUAAUAUUGAACAGGAUGCAGCAAUCAAGCAGAUAAACACAGGCUCUUCCAAUUCUGAACUGCAUAUAGUUAGGAAGUAGACACAAGGAAAAUGACACUACUACACUGGUUGCAGGAUCAUUCAGCCACACUUUUCCUUCCAACUCAGCAAUUAAGAGUUUCACUGUACUUAAUAAGCUUUCUAACUGAGCUUCAAUUACGUAGCUUAGCUGACUCUGUCUUGCUGCUCACCCUGUAGCAGCAUUGAUGGAUUUCUAUAGAGAUUUCAAUCCUUCUGCUGUGGCUGCAAACGGCAAGCUGUGUUUUUAAACACAAUUUUAACAGUAGCCGGCCCACCUUGCUUUGCUCCACGGGGUAAACCAUCUAAGUUCCCUGUAGUUUCCUGCAUUUGCCAGUGAUAUUUUUGGUCUGAUCAGAAGAAUUUUCCUUAAAACAUAAAACAGAAAGGGUGAGUUAAGACCUGAUGUAGAGCCAAACAAGACUAAAUAAAAACACUGAUCAGUACCAA